rnacentral:rRNA from 1 species
GAAUAUUGGACAAUGGGGGGAACCCUGAUCCAGCCAUGCCGCGCGAGUGAAGAAGGCCGUUCGGGUGUGAAGAACUUUAAGAGAGGCGGAGGAGCUCUGGGUGAGUACCGAAGAUGCUUGGACGUUGCUCGCAGACUACGCACCGGCGUAAUCGGUGCGUGCAGCCGCGGUAAUACGGAGGGUGCAAGCGUUAAUCGGAUUUACUGGGCGUAAAGCGCGCGUAGGUGGCCAAUUAAGUCAAAUGUGAAGUUCCCGAGCUUAACGUGGGAAUUGCAUUCGAUACUGGUUAGCUAGAGUAUGGGAGAGGAUUGUAGAAUUCCAGGUGUAGCUGUGCAAUGCGUAGAGAUCUGGAGGAAUACCGAUGGCGAAGGCAGCCAUCUGGCCUAAUACUGACACUGAGGUGCGAAAGCAUGGGGAGCAAACA